rnacentral:tRNA from 1 species
UGGGCUGUAGCUCAGUGGCAGAGUGCUUGCCUCGCAUGCGUGAGGCACUGGGUUCGAUCCUCAGCACCACAA